UUGAACUCAAUCCAAAGCACUAUUUUCAUAAUUAAUCUUAAAUUAAUGGGUACUAUAAAUUAAAUUUGGUCCGCCAGCAUAGUUAGGCGAGACUUAAACUUAUAUAAACUUACGAACUAAUAAAUCUAAAAAUUUCUACUGCAGAGAAUCUAAAUUUUACAAGUCAAACAUACCAAAAUCAAAUACAUCAACCUGAUGAUGAAGGAGUCGGGUUACUAGAUAAGAACUGUAGAAAGACUAACAAUCACCUGAAAAACAGUGAAAUUGAGACUGUCAGUCUCGAGAGCGAGUUAAAAUCGUAUAUCCAAAAAUAAAUUCAAACACUUAAAUAACACAUUUAUUUAAUUUGAAAUAAAAUCAUGCAAAAAUAUGCA
rnacentral:lncRNA from 1 species